UUGGAGGGCAAGUCUGGUGCCAGCAGCCGCGGUAAUUCCAGCUCCAAUAGCGUAUAUUAAAGUUGUUGCAGUUAAAAAGCUCGUAGUUGAAUUUCGGGAUCAAUACGUCGGUCGUGCUUUCGGGUACGUACUGGCGUCAUUGGUUUCUCCUUUCUGACGAACCAUGAUGUCAUUAAUUUGGUGUUAUGGGGAGUUAGGACUGUUACUUUGAAAAAAUUAGAGUGUUUAAAGCAGGCAUUAGCUUGAAUACAUUAGCAUGGAAUAAUGAAAUAGGACGUUCGAUCCUAUUUUGUUGGUUUCUAGGAUCAACGUAAUGAUUAAUAGGGAUAGUUGGGGGCAUUAGUAUUCAAUUGUCAGAGGUGAAAUUCUUGGAUUUAUUGAAGACUAACUACUGCGAAAGCAUUUGCCAAGGAUGUUUUCAUUAAUCAAGAACGAAAGUUAGGGGAUCGAAGACGAUCAGAUACCGUCGUAGUCUUAACCAUAAACUAUGCCGACUAGGGAUCGGAUGAUGUUAAUUUUUUAAUGACUCAUUCGGCGCCUUACGGGAAAC
rnacentral:rRNA from 2 species